rnacentral:rRNA from 1 species
CCUACGGGAGGCAGCAGUGAGGAAUAUUGGUCAAUGGACGAGAGUCUGAACCAGCCAAGUAGCGUGAAGGAUGACUGCCCUAUGGGUUGUAAACUUCUUUUAUAUGGGAAUAAAAUGUUCCACGUGUGGGAUUUUGUAUGUACCAUAUGAAUAAGGAUCGGCUAACUCCGUGCCAGCAGCCGCGGUAAUACGGAGGAUCCGAGCGUUAUCCGGAUUUAUUGGGUUUAAAGGGAGCGUAGGUGGAUUGUUAAGUCAGUUGUGAAAGUUUGCGGCUCAACCGUAAAAUUGCAGUUGAAACUGGCAGUCUUGAGUACAGUAGAGGUGGGCGGAAUUCGUGGUGUAGCGGUGAAAUGCUUAGAUAUCACGAAGAACUCCGAUUGCGAAGGCAGUUCACUGGACUGCAACUGACACCGAGGCUCGAAAGUGUGGGUAUCAAACAGGAUUAGAUACCCGUGUAGUC